AAACUUCACCUCCAGCUGAUAUUGACUUCCUUCAGACAAACAGCCACAUCGACAGUCCAGAGCAGACAAGAUGAAGAUCGCUGUCAUGUUCACUCUCGCCCUGGUUCUGAUCCUGGGUAGAGUAGAAGCUAACAACCGUCAACCGUGUCUGAGAAACCCUGACAACAAUGCAUACAACAAAUUUGUUAGCAAACACAUUCUUCAGGAGUCCUUUGACACUGGAUCAGUAACAGCAUGGCAACGUAUUUGGAAA